CAUCUCAUUUUAGAUGAUGAUCUCACUUUAUACAUCCUCAAUGGCCUCGGUUCAGACUAUCAGGAGAUUGCUGCACCGAUUAGGGCUCGGGAAAAAUCGCUCACCUUUGAGGAACUUCAUGAUCUCCUCGUGAGCCAUGAGG